AGUAAUCAAACGAGAUUUUCUUAGUAGCGGCGAGCGAACGGGAAAGAGGCCAAACCGGAGCGGGCAACCGCACCGGGGUUGAGGACAGUCAUCAAGUGUAAAUGAGGUAGAAGAAUCGAGUUGGAAAGCUCAGCCGAAGAAGGUGAAAGCCCUGUAAUCGAAACCUUGCAUACACGGGACUGUAUCCAGAGUACCACGAGACACGUGAAACCUUGUGGGAAGCAGGGGGGACCACCCUCCAAGCCAAAAUACUGAUAUCGACCGAUAGCGCAUAGUACCGUGAGGGAAAGGUGAAAAGAACCCCUGGCGGGGAGUGAAAGAGAACCUGAAACCGUAUGUCUACAAACAGUCGAAGUCUGUAUAUAUAUCAGGACGACGGCGUGCCUAUUGAAGAAUGAACCGACGAGUUACUGUUGCUAGCGAGGUUAAGUGGAAAACAUGGAGCCGCAGCGAAAGCGAGUCUGAACAGGGCGUUCAGUUAGUAAUAGUAGACCCGAAACCGUAGUGAUCUAUCCAUGGCCAGGUUGAAGCACAGGUAAAAUUGUGUGGAGGACCGAACUCGUGAGCGUUGAAAAGCUUUGGGAUGAGUUGUGGAUAGGGGUGAAAUGCCAAUCGAACACGGAGAUAGCUGGUUCUCCCCGAAAUAGCUUUAGGGCUAGCCUCGAGGUUGAGAGUAUAGGCGGUAGAGCACUGAUCGGGCUAGGGGCCAUACCGGUUACCGAACCUAGUCAAACUACGAAUGGCUAUACUUAUACUCGGGAGUCAGACAGUGAAUGAUAAGGUCCAUUGUCAAGAGGGAAACAGCCCAGAACACCGACUAAGGUCCCAAAUGUUACACUAAGUGGCGAAGGAUGUGGAGUUUCCAAAACAACCAGGAUGUUGGCUUAGAAGCAGCCACCAUUUAAAGAGUGCGUAAUAGCUCACUGGUCGAGAGACUCUGCGCCGAAGAUGUCCGGGGCUAAAGUGUAAAACCGAAGUCGUGUCAUAUGCAGCAAUGUAUAUGGGUAGGGGAGCGUUCUCAUCGGGCUGAAGCAGUACCGUAAGGAGUUGUGGACUGAUGAGAAGUGAGAAUGUCGGUAUGAGUAGCGAAAAGAAUGGUGAGAAUCCAUUCCACCGAAAGCCUAAGGGUUCCUGAGCAACGAUCGUCGUCUCAGGGUAAGUCGGGACCUAAGCCGAGGCGGAAAAGCGUAGGCGAUGGACAACAGGUUGAAAUUCCUGUACCGGUGUGAAUCGUUUGAUCGAUGGAGUGACACAGUAAGGUAGGUCAGCACGCGAUUGGAAGAGCGUGUUUAAGCAGGUAGGUUGAGCUAUAGGCAAAUCCGUAGCUCUAAAAGCUGAGAUGUGAUGACGAGUUACUAGCGAUAGUAACGAAGUGAUUGAUCCUACACUGUCGAGAAAAGCUUCUAGGUAGAGACACAUCGCCCGUACCAAAACCGACACAGGUAGGCGGGGAGAGAAUCCUAAGGUGCGCGGGAAAACCCUCGUUAAGGAACUCGGCAAAAUGCCUCCGUAACUUCGGGAAAAGGAGGACUCAUGUAGUGUGAAGAGCAGCAACGCUUGGAGCAUGAAUGAGUGGCACAAGAGAGGCGCAAGCGACUGUUUACCACAAACACAGGUGCCUGCUAAAGCGAAAGCUGACGUAUAGGUGCUGACACCUGCCCGGUGCUGGAAGGUUAAGAGGAGGGGUUAGACUUCGGUCGAAGCUCUGAAUUGAAGCCCCAGUAAACGGCGGCCGUAACUAUAACGGUCCUAAGGUAGCGAAAUUCCUUGUCGGGUAAGUUCC
rnacentral:rRNA from 1 species